UACGUAGGGACCAAGCGUUGUUCGGAUUUACUGGGCGUAAAGGGCGCGUAGGCGGCAAUUCAAGUCAGCUGUGAAAUCUCCGAGCUUAACUCGGAACGGUCAGCUGAUACUGCUUUGCUAGAGUGCAGAAAGGGCAAUCGGAAUUCUUGGUGUAGCGGUGAAAUGCGUAGAUAUCAAGAGGAACACCUGAGGCGAAGGCGGGUUGCUAGGCUGACACUGACGCUGAGGCGCGAAAGCGUGGGGAGCAAACAGG
rnacentral:rRNA from 1 species